UCCUCUGAAAAAGGAAAAUAAUGUGACCAAAUAAUUUAUCAUCCAUCCAAGAACAUUUUUGAGUACUCUUAAAAAUUACACCAGAACCACAGGAAUAAACCACAGCUGCUCUGGAAGGGUCCUGGGCAAGCUGGACCUAAGAGCACCCCAGAAAUGAAAGUCUUUGUUUCUUUUUAAAAAAUUGUUGACAUCACUGAACAGAGCUCAGUGUGCAGCCCACUGUAUCAAGUCCUAGACCAGCCAACGAAAGCUGCGUUGAACCUAUCCUGCAGCAGAAACACUGGUGAAGAAGCCUGGAGAAACAGAGGCCUGCAGUACCCAGUAACUAACCAGGCUGCACGAAUGGAGCAUGAGAACACCCUACAGCCUGUUAUUUGCUGCAUGUUUCUACGGGCACCAGCAAAGCACAACUUCUAGUAAUGGGAUCAGUAACCCAAGUGACGGAACUGAAAAGGCAAGUCUGAAUUUAUCUCCAUCUGUCAUGUUCCAGUGAACAAUGAAAGCACAGUAAAGGGAAACGCUGCUUCUUGCAUGUUUGUGCCAGUCCUUCCCUGCUAGGUACUAUUAUUAGCAGCAUUAAUAAAUGCCUCUGACUUGCAGUAAAGGUUCAGAAUGCUGGAGAGUUACAGGGCAUGCCAAACACAUAAACUGCCUGCCCUCAGGGCUGAUGGGCACGAAGGCUAUAAGAUGAAGCCCAAAUGGCAGAAACAUUCUGACCAGGGAGGAGUGAUUGCAGGUGAGGUAGGGAGAUUUUUUUUCCAGGGCUGUGCUGGAAAUGAAAGAGACAAGCCUUCGCGCCCACUAUUUGGCUGCUCAUCCUAUUCUAUUCUUGGGAAAUCAUUGGAGAGAUGAGAGAAGACAAGUGACAGUCCACUUUGAAUGUCACCUCUACCAUCCUGGAGCCUUGGGAGAAAGCUAAAGAUGUGUCCAGCCUUAUGGCUAAAUAAGGUUAAGCUGGGACAGAGACUGCUCAUUGUUCUCCAGAGGCUAUACUCUAACUUUUAGAAACACAGCUCUGAGUUAGCAGGGAACUCUUAAGACAUGGGACUCCCCAGGGGUGAGCUAGAGACACCCACCCGGGACUCUGUGGCCGUAGGUGUGGUCA
rnacentral:lncRNA from 1 species